AAUGGAUUAGAGAAUAAAAAUAUUGGGUGCUAUAUAAAAAAGACGUAGGCCUACUGCUGGUCGAAAUGGAAAAACAGGUUUCGUGAUGUGAUCAUCUCCCUGCCUGAAAGGAGCUGGCGACAGUAGGAGUCUUCGGCCUCCCAGUCAGCCAUUGCAGCCACUGCACGUGUUCGCCUCAUGUUCGACGGCCACAGGGACGGAACAAUUUGCCGGGGGCGUCAAAUUCUCGCUGUGCUGAUUUUUCAGAAAUAAAUAAUGAUAUAAUAAAUUAUAAAUUUGCUUUGUAUAGGAUCAGUCUGUUUGAGUCUGUAUCACGAACUGUAACUGUAGUCGGAUUACAUGUAUGCUGUAUUCACAUGCUUUAUGAUAUCUCGUUGAAGCUACGUUACAAUCAUCUGUACAAGAAGAUAAAAAUAAAAUGCUGUGAAGUGUUUUAAAAUUUAUCUUAA